rnacentral:rRNA from 1 species
UACGGGGGGAGCAAGCGUUGUUCGGAUUUACUGGGCGUAAAGGGCGCGUAGGCGGUCAGCACAAGUCAGUUGUGAAAUCUCCGGGCUUAACUCGGAAAGGUCAACUGAUACUGUGCGACUAGAGUGCAGAAGGGGCAACUGGAAUUCUCGGUGUAGCGGUGAAAUGCGUAGAUAUCGAGAGGAAGACCAGUGGCGAAGGCGGGUCUCUGGACAGUUCCUGACGCUGAGGCACGAAGGCCAGGGGAGCAAACGGG